CUGGAGUAGUUUGAGAGGAACUUGCAUGGGACAUCAGAUGGCUUUGCUGGGGUUCUGGACACAAAUGCAAGACAGAGUCAAGCAGUAACACAGUAUCUGAAGAAUGGAGCGAGUUUAGAGAAGGGAAUGGAGCUGGUAUGACUGAGAAGAGCUGUGCGGGAGAGUAAUGAAGAAGCUGGGAAACAAGGAAAUCACUGGUUUGAGGAUUUAAAAACACCCUCAGCACACAGAGCCUGGUUAAACCGGGGAACUCACUGCUGCAGGAUGUUGUGGAGGCCAAAGGUAAUAAAUGAGCUCAAAGGAAUGA